GUACUGCUGAAGAGUCCCAAACUAAGAUGAAACAGCUGUCCAGUAC
rfam:Trichobilharzia regenti genome assembly, scaffold: TRE_scaffold0020326